GGCUGUGAGGGAGAUCUGGCUGUGACAUCUGUCACCACAUGGGUUGUGGUUGAUUAGACUGGGUUAAUUAGACUGAUCUGGCUGGCGAGGCAGGUGUCCUGUUCCUCUCUCACUGCUCCUUGAGGGUCCUUCCCAAAGCUGAGUGCUCAGUUGAAGAGGACGACCUUCCCUGGUAGAGGAGGAUGGAUCUUCGGUCAAGGGUAUACAAAUAGGUGCACUUCCCUGUGUUCUACUCCAGACAAGAAAGGUGGCUCUCUCUCUGUAGGGAGAGGAUUUACACUUUGUCCUUCCUCAUUCUUAUGGUACCUUUUAGGGAAAGCCCAACUGA
rnacentral:snRNA from 1 species